rnacentral:rRNA from 1 species
AAUAGAUACCCUGGUAGUCCACGCCGUAAACGAUGAUUACUAGGUGUGGGGGGAUUGACCCCUUCCGUGCCGGCACUAACGCAAUAAGUAAUCCACCUGGGGAGUACGGCCGCAAGGCUGAAACUCAAAUGAAUUGACGGGGGCCCGGCACAAGCAGUGGAGUAUGUUGUUUUAAUUCGAAGCAACGCGAAGAACCUUACCAGGUCUUGACAUCGAGUGAAAGCCCUAGAGAUAGGGCCCUCCCUUCGGGGACACGAAGACAGGUGGUGCAUGGUUGUCGUCAGCUCGUGUCGUGAGAUGUUGGGUUAAGUCCCGCAACGAGCGCAACCCUUAUCAUUAGUUGCUACGCAAGAGCACUCUAAUGAGACUGCCGUUGACAAAACGGAGGAAGGUGGGGAUGACGUCAAAUCAUCAUGCCCUUUAUGACCUGGGCUACAAACGUACUACAAUGGUAUAUAACAAUGGGAAGCAAAGCCGCGAGGUGGAGCAAAUCCCCAAAAUAUAUCUCAGUUCGGAUUACAGGCUGCAACUCG